rnacentral:tRNA from 1 species
GCUAGGAUAGUUUAACUGGUAAAACGAUUGCCUUGUAAGCAAUUAGAUCAGGGUUUGAAUCCCUGUCCUAGCUCCA